GGUGAUAUGGACAUGCUACCCAUGGAUACGACCUUUGGUACCCUCAAUUCUAUAAUAUUUGAAAAGAUUUAUAAUCAGGUGAAUUCAAGUAGUAUUUGUUUUCAUUGUCAUAUUUAUGAAGAGGCGGAGCUACUACUAUCUUGUCUCGUUUUAUUACGUAGGCAUCUUGUCGAGCUUUUCAAGUCCAAGGUCAAGAUGAGAUACGAUGGAGCCGAACGGGAGGGCCAACAAGAAUCAAGCAUUCAUACAGCUGAGAGGGAAGGAUUUCAAGUGUACUUUCCAACAAAUCAAACGGCACAUGAUUCGGAGCUUGCUAGAGAAAAAUAUCACGAAUUAAAGUUGAAUCCGAUUCGGGUCCGAGCUGUCAGGACCCGAAUUUGUUUUAAUCACCCAGGCCGCAUCCGGAGUCGAAAUCAAGCAAACAAGUACUUGUUGGAAAGAUAAUUACAAGAACUUUCCAAAGGAUCCAGCCCCACAAGUAGAUUUGACGCGUGCUGACCGUGGAGGACAAAACAAGCUGACGGAUCUGUUUUUUCGGUUUCCUAAAGAGUUGUAGUUUGUCAGGGAAGUUAAUGAUAGAGUUGGAUUUCGGCCUCCUUACUCAAGGUGGACGACAAUCUCUCUCCCUCCUCCUUUAUAUACCCCACGAGCCCCCCUAAGAAGCUUUUGGUUUUGAUUAGUUAAAAGUUAGCCAUCGCUACUACUUCGUGUAAUCGCGUGUGUCGGUUAGACCACCUGUUUUACCGCUUUCGGAACUCCAACUUAUCGUCUCGUUGAGACAUUUAUUUGAUAUAGUAUAUUCGCAAUUUUAGAUUGCAUCCGCUUUUUAUCUUGUUCUUGCUUGUUCUUCGAUUGCUUGCAGGAACAAAGACCUUCAUGGUCAGGUUGAUCGUGCCCCUCCGUGAUCAAUAACCCUCUGGAGUUGGUGUAUCGAUUGCUAAGGCGCUGCGUUCUACUAGUCGGAUCGUCAACGUCACCUCCUACCCAAAUCGAGAGUUACCAAUCUCAUCGAAAGAUCAGGCCACCCUGAGGCUAUCACCGGGAAGCGGAGACGCGCCCCGCUCCUCGGGGCAGGCAGAAAACCCUCCCCCAGGGAGGGCAAGGAGGAGGGGAUCCUGAGGGGUCCUCGGAUUCGUCACCAACCAUCACGUGGGGUCACGUGCACGGCGUCCUGAACGCCUGCCAACAGGAGGAUCUCCGCCAGUGCCUAGAGCGCCGGCGCCGGCGCGAGGUAGAGCGCCAGUGCCCGGAGGAGCAGGAGGAUGCUCCCAUGGGCGCCGAGGAUGGCUGCACCACGUUCACCCGCGAGCUGCGUCGGGUGACAUGGCCCCGCAUGUUCCGAGCACCGACGCUCGGGACAUACGAGGGGUCCGUGAACCCCAAGGAUUUUCUGCACAAGUCAAAAGUACCUCAGUAAUCUACUCUAUAAUAUGUUUAAUGUGCUCUGUCACACGUGGCUCACAAGUAGGAGGUAACCACUGCAGCUCAGCCAUGUCAACAAGAAACUCAUUUAUGAAUCAGGUACGCUACACCAAAUUUAUAUAAAAUAAACACCAAAAUUGGGAGAGUGAGAGAGAGAGGGGCUACCGAUUGGGGAUUUCAGGCCGACAAUUGACUUGAAGAUUGAACAGCACCACAGUCAAAUUGAAGAUUGGAGAAAUUUGGGGAGUCCGCCAGUCGGAGGAGACGACGAGUGGGCGACGGGUGACUACCGGACAGCGAUUAUGUGCUGCCGCGCUAGGCCGACGGCGAACGUGAAUCCCUGACCUAGCGAGCGGGGCCAACACGAGCCAGGGAGCCGGACAAUGGAGGAGGCGUGGGGCUGGGUGGAGGCGAGGAGGCGGGCGGCGGGCAGCACUGCAGCAGAACCGUGCGGUGGCCGGCGGCGUUGCGUUGCACUUCUGCUUUCUCUCGAUCUCCCGUCCAUGAUUUAGUUUGCUCCUGCGAAUCUCUUAUUGAGGGGCCGAGCUGGGCCUGGUGCUUCCCGGGCUGUAGCACCAGUCCAGCAAAAUAGGAUAAAACAACAGGCAAAAAAAAAAGAAAUGAGGCCAGUCAAGAUUUGUUAGCCCAUUAGUACCACCAGGCCCAUGGAAGCACCAUUUAGCCCAGGGAGCACCAGGCCUGCUCGAAGCCAAGCCUGAGCCGCGCAUGAGCAGUCCUUCGCACGACUGCAGUCAAUCGAUCCUGAAGCCUCAUAUCUUCUAUGAAAAGGAAUGUACGGACUUGCUAGGCACAUCUUCGAUCCGAAACUUCAUAUCUUUUGCGAAACAAGACAGACCACUUGUACGGACUCGCUAGGCAUGGUCCCUCAUUAGGACGAACUAUUCGGCCAAAUUGGAGUCGGUGCAAAACUUCUACUCGGGUCCAUUUGGGGUCUUAGGAUGAGGACACCAAACAAAGCUACUCAUCAAAGCGAAACAAGACUAGACCACUUGUGCGGACUCGCUAGGCAUCCUCCCUCACUAGGACGGACAAUUUGGCCAAAUCGGAGUCGGUGCUAAACUUUAAUCCGGAACGUGUCCAUUUGAGGUAAUAGGAUGAGCACACCAAACAAAGCUACUCAUCGAAGCGAAACAACACUACACCACUUGUACAGACUUGCUAUGCAUGGUCCCUCACUAAGACAAACAAUUCGGCGAAAUCGGAGUCGGUGCUAGACUUAUACUCGAACUCGGGUCCAUUUGGGGUACUAGGGUGAGCAGACCAAUCAAUUUGGGGUACUAGGAUGAGCAGACCAAUCAAAUCUACUGAUGAGGGCAUCCCUAGUCCUUUGUCAUCUUUGCCUAAUGAUGAUCUUCCUGUUCAAGAUAAACCCAAUGAUCUACGCAUUGGACCAGUUACACGAGCACGUGCCAAGUUAUUAGAACAACAGGUGAACUCACUCCUAGCUGCACCUAAUGUUUAUAUUGAUGAGAAUUUUAUACUGCCUAAGGCUUUGUAUCUUUGUGUGAUCAGGUUUGAGGCUGAGGCAACCGUGGAGCGUGGAGGAGAGGAGGUCGCGUGCGAGGAUCAUCAAGUGCUGUUAUCCAACAUCAAGAUAUGCGCGAGGGAUGAGAGGGAGGCAGGCGCACCACAAAUGAAGAUGGAGGAUACAAAAUGCUAGAAGAGCAACUUGUGAGCAAGGGGCAGCCAACGACAAGAAUGAUCUGCUCACCACAAGUUGAGUACGAGUACGAAGCGCACCAGGACAGCCUACGACGAGUCCGACACGUCUAAGGGGCGCCCGGACCUGCGAGUCCUAAUUUAAGCCAAGUCCUAUUCGGAUUGGUUGUAUGUGUUUAAGUCGAACCUAGUUUGAGUCUGAGUCCGUUUGUGUGUUUGGCUGCCCCUCGCCUAUAUAUACAAGGGGUACGCCUAGGGUUAGGGUUAGACCACGUUUUAACUAUUUUCGAGACUCUUGUUGAUUGCGAGAAGCAUUCAUCUGGAAUCAUACACACCAUAUUCGUUUCGAUAGGGUGUUUGUUAUUUACUGAAAGUUCGAGCGUAAAUCUGUCGUUCCGCUGGGAAUUGAAAGAUUGCGAAACCGCUUGUGGUCGGCGGACUAGUGCGCAAGCGUGUGGUGUUGCGAAUUUCCAUUGGGUUGCAAGUUCGUCGUGCGGCGACGGAUGAACGGCUGGAAGAUUUGUAGAAUCAUAUAAGUUAUCCACGUUGCUCUCUGAGAAGAUCGGGGCACCCCUUAUCAGCUACUCAUCAAAUUGAAAUAAGACUACACCACUUGUACGGACUCGCUAGACAUGGUCCCUCACUAGAACGGACAAUUUGGCCAAAUCGGAAUCAGUGCUAAACUUUUAUCCGGAACUGGUCCGUUUGGCGUUAUAAGAUGAGCACACCAAACAAAACUACUCAUCAAAGCGAAACAAGACUAGACCACUUGUACGGACUCGCUAGGCAUGGUCCCUCACGAGGACGGACAAUUCGACCAAAUUCGAGUCGAUGCUACACUUUGAUCCUCAACUGUCAAUUUGAGGUACUAAGAUGAUCACACCAAUCAAACAUGCUCAUUGAGCGAAACAAGACAGACCACUUGUAUGGAGUCGUUAGGCAUGGUCCCUCAUUAGGACGGACAAUUCAGCCAAAUCGGAAUCGGUGCUAAACUUCUACUCGGACUCGGGUCCAUUCAGGGUACUAGGAUGAGGACACCAAACAAAGUUACUCAUUGAAAUGAAACAAGACUGGACUACUUGUAUGGACUCGCUAGGUAUGGUCCCUCACUAGGGCGGACAAUUCGGCCAAAUCGGAGUCGGUGCUAAACAUUGAUCCGUAACGGGUCCGUUUGGCGUUAUAAGAUGAGCACACAAACCAAAGCUACUCAUCAAAGUGAAACAAGACUAUGCCACUUGUACAGACUCGCUAGGUAUGGUCCCUCACUUGGACGGACAAUUCGGCCAAAUCAAAGUCGGUGCUAAACUUUGAUCCGGAAUGUGUCCAUUUGAGAUACUAGGAUGAGCACACCAAUCAAAGCUACUCAUAGAAGCUAAACAAGACAAACCACUUGUACGGACUCGCUAGGCAUGGUCCCUCAUUAGGACGGACAAUUCGGCCAAAUCGAAGUCGGUGCUGAACUUCUACUCGGACUCGGGUCCAUUUGGUAUCCUAGGAUGAGCACAACAAACAAAACUACUCAUCAAAGCGAAACAAGACUAGACCACUUGUACGGACUCGCUAGGGAUGGCCCCUCACUAGGACGGACAAUUCGUGCAAAUCGGAGUCGGUGCUAAACUUAGAUCCGAAACCGGUCCGUUUGGCAUUAUAAGAUGAUUACACCAAACAAAGCUAAUCAUCGAAGCGAAACAAGACUAGACCACUUGUACGGACUCACUAGGCAUGGUCCCUCACUUGGACGGACAAUUCGGCCAAAUUGGAGUCGGUGCUAAACUUUGAUCUGGAACGUGGACUGCAGGCUUAUUUCAGGAAUUUGCAGGGGUUUCUUUGCAAAAAAGCCGGCGCCAAUUAAUUAGGGACGAAGGGAGUAGAAGACAAGUAAACUCGUUUAAACUGAUUCUAUCUUAUCUCUAGUCCCAACCAUAUUAUAUCUCUAACAUUACCCCUCGGUCGUAGCGGGAGCGAAGCGGACGGUUGCGACUAGAUUUGAAGUCUUGUGCUUCCGUCGUCUUCUCUGCUUCGCCAUCAUCAACUGCGUCUCUGAUGAACAGGUCCGUCACCUAGGGCGGUGUCUGCCGUCUCCUUCUGGUGCCGUCCCUUGUCUCUCCUCUAUUCCCUCCCGCAGUCAUAGCAGGAGUGUCGUGGACGCUAGUGACGACGCAGAUCCUUUGACUGGAGUUGUUGCCGAUGAGUAACUGUAGACGUCGUAGCCCAUGAUGUCGAUGUCGAGGUAGCCGUAGUCGAGGUAGUCGUGGUCGAAGUAGUAGUCGUCGUAGCACAUAGCAAGAGGUGCAAAAAAAAUGCGCUAUGAUAUAGAGAUGGAGCUGCAAUCGAAGACGAUGCACCUUUCAGAUGUCAGAGGGUGUCGUUGGAGGCGUCGUGCGGAUGUCAGAGAACGCGUCGAAGGAGAUGAGACCACCAGUUUUGCCAAAACAGGCAAAACUGGUGCGAACCCAUCGAGCACACAUCAGUUUUGCGAGGACUGUGUGUGCCGUGCAACCACCAGCUUUGCCAGAACUGGAGGGGAGUCAUCACAAUUAGUGAUAUUGGUGUUGAUGCAGUCGAAGCCGUCGGAGAUGCGGGGAUGCUGUCGUCGGUGAAGCAAACGCGAGAAUGCCGUUAUCGAUGAAACGUCUUGCAGUUGAACCGCCAGAGGACGCGGGAGAUGCCCAUCUGUGUGGACGAAGUGGCGGCGGCUGGUUGACGAUGAUUCUUGAUGAAGACCUUUGACGAUGAACUGUCGGUGAUGGCGUAUCAGCGAGCAUGUCGACAAUGAUCUAUCACUCAAAGGCGUCCCUUUUGGCAACGACGUGUCGAUGCCAUGUCGUGCCGUGUCUGAGAAGUCGAUGAAUAUUGCAUCUCGCUUCACACCGGCCUGGCGUGUGGAUGGAUGUGUUGAUGUAGCUUCUCAUAUAUGAUCGACUCGUAGUGCAUGUAGCUCGUGGCUGGUCGUGAUGUAGUCAUACAGUCUGACGAAGACGUGAUAUUGCUCCGUGCAAAAGUUGUUGUAGAUCGCUGGUGUGGACGUCCGCCUGGUGUAGCCGAUCAGGAGACUUUUGUUGUCCAGGAGUUGACACAGAUCGGUCUGGGUGUCGUGUUGUGCUUCUGGUCGUGGAUGAAGGAGCUGACCGAGCGCGUUAAGGAAGCUGGUGCCAUUCCCGGAUCGAAGCUAGGCUUGUGUAUCUCCCUGGCCUGCUCACCUUGAGCCUUCAAUCAGCCACGGGUGCAUAUGCAUGCAAAUCCAUCCAGCCACAUGCAUUAGCUGACCUUGCAUAUGCAGAUCGGAUCCAGCCGUCUUGGCUAGACUGCGUGUCAAGGUGUCGCUCGCUCGUGAUGCGUGGAGUAGGCCGGAGCAUGUGCAGCGUCGGAGAAGGCGUCAUGCCAAUCACUGCUCGUGUGGAGCCGAUGCGUUGCACCGGGUCACAGACGAGGGUUUCGAUCGUGAAGAUGGAGAUCGUCGGGUUAAUUUGUGGCUAAAGGAGGAUAAUCAAUCUACUAAUGAAAUUGGAGAUUGGAAAUUUGCCUAAUCUAUAGAAAGCAAUCUAAUCUACUGGAUCGGAACGAAAUUGGACGGGAGCCCUCCGGGGAGACUAAGGAUGACGAUCUCCCCGGAGGCAGCAUGAUGCGGAAGGUGUGGUAAGGAUCGGCAAUGUUAGUCUAACCGCUCUGAUACCAUGUACAAAGAUGGGAUUGGAACCUAAUUGUACUAAUUGUAUUCCACGAUAUUUCUGAUGUUGUAUUGAUCUGAUCCUCGUAUGGGGUAUAUAUAGAGGUACAACGGGGGAGAUAGACUUGGAGUACAAGACAAGUAAUCUUGUUUAAACUGAUUCUAUCUUAUCUCUAAUCCUAACCAUAUUAUAUCUCUAACAAGGAUGAGCAUGGGAGAGAGAGAUGGCGACGGUGAGAGAAUGAAAGAGAAGGCAGCUGGUGAGAAGAACGAGAGAGAAGGAGGCGGAACAAGAUGAUUCUAGCUAGUUUUCCAAGGAACGGGUUUGUUCCGAAUCUUGGGGGAAUAUUCCUCUCGGAGGAACCAUUUGGUUCCAUUCUAUUUUGAUGUAUUCUUUCAACCAAAAAAGGAAUCAUCUUUAAAAGUGGAACUGUUCAAUUACAUUCCACUUCGCUCUCAGAACCAAACACUGACUUAAACUCCCUUCGGUUGAGCUGCGUUCGAUUUGGCUUGAUCUGGCUGUUUUUGUCUUGCGGUGGUUGGAUUUGGCAGCGUUUCCGGUCCGUGUUCUUCUCCGUACGGUUGAUUUCGAUUGUUGUUGGGCAGUUCGUUCUUGCAGGUCUCCACCGGACCCGUCAUCGCUCCGGCGGCCUCUGCCCGCGCAGGUGGCGGCCUCUAUUCCUGUGAAAUCAUAUGUGAUGUGUAACAUUGGCAAGUAUUUUAGAUGAAACAUUGAUGUGGAUACUAUGGAUAAUAUAGAUACUUAUGUGAUGACAUGAAUCUUGUUUUGGACUUAGUGAUUUGCUAUUGGUGUGUUGAUCCAUUAAAUUCUUAUGUGAAAACAUGAUGUGAGUUGUGUGGAACUUACCCUGGAGUCAAGUCGUGGACUUGUACUCGUACUGGUUAUUUGUGUGUUCACUUUCAGGUGUUGCCGGAGCUAGAGGAACGUUGUCGAUGACGGGAUCGAGGGACGAAGCUUGGGAGAAGCUGAGGUCGAGGGAUCAAGGUCAUGCGGAACGUUCGUGUGAAGGAACAAUGAAAGUGAAGGCUACGAUGAUCCGGGAUGGCACCGGUUUGUCGUACGUUGUUUAUACCGGAGAUGUAUGGUAUUGGAGAUAUUCGACACGUGAUGGUCGAGUUUUGAAGACAUCACAAGAAGAGUGGAUGGCAUGGAGUGGCAUCGACGUGAAGACAUGUAGGUCCAGCCGUGGCUGUAUGAGAGCUGUUUAAAGAUUAAACAGUAGCGUCAUCAAGAAGGCGUCUGAUGGAAAAGUGGUCCAGAUAAAAGUUGUGCGCGUCGUCGAUACGAACAACUGUUUUCUUUUGGAGUCAUCUCAAUCCGAGGUCGUAUGCGGGCCCCACGGACAGAAUACCGACCGGAACAGAGGAGUGCGUGUUGGAUUCGGACUCGGUUUAGGGUCGCGAAUUUUCUCUUAUAAAAUAGAGGGCGUCUAGGCUAGUGUUUCAGCAAGGACGUGAGGGAACUCAGAGCUUUGGAUCUAGAUCAAUCCUUGGAGAGUUAUUGGAUGCAUGGUUGCAUCUUUUGUAAUCAAUCGACAUCAUUGCAAUAAAAAGAUUCGUUGCGGUGUCAUCUCUGUUCUUCUCGGAUCUUCGUGGAUUCUUCGUGCUAGAUCUUUAACACUUUGCCGCAGGUUUAUCAUGAGUUCAUAAUACUUUGCUGCAGUUUUACCACGAGAUCAAAGAAUGAUCGCGAUUACUUCAUCUUUCUUGUUAUUCCUCGAAAUUGAUUAUAGAUUAAUUCUCAUAACUUUCUGUCAGCUGUUACUGUUUUGAUCAUAUCUUUUGAUUGGUACGUCCGAUUGAGCUGAUUCUUGUUGCAUUGGAUAGAUAAUUUCAAUACCUUUCUUUUGCGUACUCAAAUGUAAUUUUGGUCCAGCCUAUCUAAAGUUACAUUGGAUUUACUAUCACGAACAGAUUAGGGUUUUAGGGAUUGAACUUUCGGGAAAAGUUUUAAUUUGCUUGCGCACAAUCAUUCACCCGCCCCCCUCUGAUUGCCUAUCUCGAUCUCACAAUUGGUAUCAGAGCAAGGUCUCUCUAAUUUGUGUUAACCGGUUGAUUAGACUUGCUAGAUAUGGAUAGGUAUUCUACCAAACUCUGUGUGUUCGAUGGUGUUGAUUUUCAGUUUUGGAAGGCGAAGAUGAAGGCAUACAUCAUGGCACAAAGCUACGCCAUAUGGGAGAAGGUCGCCAAGCCCUACGAGCUUCCCGCGGACGAUGCGAUCACACCAACAAACUCGGUCCACGUGGAGAACAACUACAAGGUGAGGAACUAGAUCAUCCAAGGUCUACAACGAAGUGACUUCGACCGUGUCGCUCACCUUGCAUCCGCUCAUGAGGUAUGGAACGCACUUUGUAGUUAUCAUGAAGGAUCAAACUCUGUUAAGGAGGUGCGUCAGGAGUACAAAAAGGAGUACAUGAGAUUUGAGAUGAAUACACGUGAAUCUUUGGAUGAAUUCUUUGCACGCUUUAAUAAGAUUCUCAGCAACUUAAGUGCAUUAGGUGUUACCUAUACUGAUGCUGACGCUUCUAGACAACUUUUAAGUGCUUUAGAUAUGUUCAUAUGGGAGAUGAAAGUUACAUCUAUUAGAGAAUCUACAGUCAUGAGCACACUUACACUUGAUAUUUUAUACUCAAAACUGAAGACUCAUGAAUUAGAUGUUCUUGCUAGGGGAACCGGUUCCAAAUCAAUUGCACUUGUUUCUAACCCUAGCCGCUCUAAUGAUAAUACUUCUUCAUAUUGCUAUGCUCUGUCUUUUUUGUCUCAACUAACUGAUGAACAGCUAGAGCAAUACCCAAAGGAAGAAUUGGCACUCCUCACCUCUCGUUUUACACGUGCCCUGCAAAAUGUUCGUUCAAGGAAGAGAUGUGGGAACAAUGCUCCAAGGUGCUUUGAAUGUGGUGAUUUAAAUCACUUUCGCCAAAAUUGUCCCAAAUUCUUAUCCAAGAUGACGAAAGAAGAAAAUGGGGAGGACAAGAAGAAGAAGCGCCCCUUCAACAUCAAGAAUAAAAAGAGGGGCGACUUUGCUCGAGCGGUGGCCCACAGUAUUUUCUCUGUAAUCAAUGAAUAUGGUGAACCAUGCUUGAGUGAUGUGGAUAUCGAGUCUGAUGAAGAUGAUGCAUCCAAAGGCAAGCGCGACAUUAAUGGGAUGUGUCUUAUGGCUUGCAACAAGAGUACUACCUCCUGCGACGACUACGACAGUGACAGCAACAAUGAGGUAGAACUUUCUUAUGAUGAAUUACUUAAAAGUGCUAGGAAAUUGAGUUCCUUGCUUGAUCAUGCUACUAAAAGAAAUAUGACUUGAAAAUUGCAUCCUUGAAUUUUGAAAUUACUAAACAUAAGUCUAUGAUUCCUGAUGAUGAUUCCUGCAAGUCUUGUGAUUCUAUAUAUUCUGAGCUUACCUCUUUGCGUUCUAUUCAUGAUGAUACUCUUGAUAAGCUUAGAGUUGCAUUAGAAAACAAUGAGAAACCUAUUGUGCAUAAACGUAAACAAAUUAAUGAUGAUAGCAUGGAUACUUCUGAUUUGAAAGAUUCAACUUCUUGUAAUAAUUGUCAUAUUCUUGAAUUGAAGUUGAAAGAUGCAAAUGCUAGGGUUUCUUAUGUUGAAAAUGCUUUAUAUAUCCAUGAGGUUUCUUUGUGCGCUAAUUGUAGAAGUGGAAAACAAAUCAUGGAUGGUGCUUGUGAUAAUUGUAUUGCCCUGUCUCAUUAAGUUAAUUAUUUACAAGCAUCUUUGCAGAAAUUUUCUAAUGGGCACAAAAAUCUGAAUAUAAUCUUAGAUUAGUCUCAAGUGAGUAAAAAUAAGACCGGACUUGGUUCUAAUACACAUGCUCAUUUUAAGGCUAAUCCACCCACUAUUGUUAAGUCACUUGGCAAUGGAAUUUUUGAAACAUCUAACAAGCCAACCAAUGUGAUUUUUAAAUCUGCCGGCAUCAUGUCUAAUGAUACUUCAACAAGUGCAAAUGUAGGUCAUACAUCACAUGCUAAACCAUGGUGUAGGUUUUUGUUUUAGACUAGCUAGAGUAAUUAAAAAAGAAAGAAAACAAGCUAGAUCUAAUUUCUUCAAGUCACAUUAUGCUCAUGAUAAAAUUAUUACUCCCUGUUAUGUGCCUACGGUGAAUGUUUCACCUUCCGUUUCAAUUUGCACGAGACAUGUACAAUCUGUCCCAAUGUAUAAGGAUACUCGUGCUUUGCCUACUCGUCGUGUAUCUCAGUACUGGAUACCUAAAAGUUUUUUUAUCUAACCCCAGUACGAAGAUCUCGGCAUGUGUUUGUUGUUUGUAGGCAUUCGCUUGAGGAAGGGGAACAUAUGGCUAGUGGACUCCGGUUGUUCUCGUCGCAUGACCGGUGAUAAAAAUUGGUUCUCCUCCCUCACACAUGCAUCUCGGGCUAAAUGAAAGUGCAACUUAUGGAGAUGCUCAUAUUUCUACUUUUCUGGCGAAAGUUCUCUUAUUUGUAAUGCAGGAACAUAUGUUCAGGGGGAGGAAAUAUUUUUAGAACCCUUAUUGGUGCACGUUGCGUAUUAAAAACAAACAAAAUAAGGAUAGUGUUAUUUCUCGCAACAAAGCUAGGUUUCAAGCUUCCCCAAGCGCAUCACAUCUACAAGUUGUCAAAAGGAUUUUCAGAUAUCUUUUGGCAUUAGGCUUCUGCUUCCUCUAGUAUUAUAUUGCGUGCAUUUACGGAUGCUGAUUUUGGAGGUUGUAGAAUUGAUAGAAAGAGUACAUCUGGUACAUGCUUAUAUUUGGUGAUUCUUUAGUACUUUGCUCUUCUAAGAAAUAAAGUUCGGUUGCACAAUCUACUGCUGAAAGUGAAUAUGUAGCUGCUGCUUGCUGUUGCUCACAGAUUUUAUGGAUAAUAGCUACAAUGAAAGAUUAUGGGGUUACUUUAGAAAGUGCACCACUUUAUUGUGAUAACACUAGUGCUACAUGUAUUGCUAAAAACCCGGUGCAACAUUCUAGAACUAAGCACAUAGAUAUAAGAUAUCAUUUUCUUGGAGAUCAUGUUGAAAAACAAAAUGUUGUGCUCAACUUUAUAGAUACUGAACGUCAAUUGGCAAGCAUUUUUACUAAACUAUUGGAUUCUUCUCGGUUUGCUUUUCUUCGAGGUGAACUUGGAGUAAUCAAACCAUACGGGAUGGUUUGAGGGGGAGGUUGUUCUUCUUGUACGAUAUGUAAAAAAUCUUUUCAGUUGCUUCUUUUUCGUUCUUUUAUCUUUAAUAAAUAAAAAAUCUGAAAAAGUAAUGAGCAACCACGUUUAUGUUUUGAGGACAUUGUCAUUUUAUAUGUAUGCUCGUCUGAAGUAGUCUAUCACAUGACUUCUAAUACGAAUGAUAACUUGAACUAAAUUUUGUCAUGGUUAAACUUUGUUAGCUCUUUUGGUCUUGGAUACUUAAUUACUAGUAAUGAUGAAAAUAUAAUGGUAUCAAGGUUCCAAAUAUACAAAGACACGUGGUGUCAAGCAAUUUUUACUAAAUAAAUGCCAAUCUUGCUCUACAUCUUCAUGAGACUGCUUACCAUUGCACCUUGGUAUGAACUUGGAAGUUGCUGUGUUUAUUGAAACCUUUGUCUUAAGCUUCUGAUUGCUUACCAUUUGCCUUAAGCUUCUGAUUGUUAAUCAUUGCACUUUGGACAUAGGCUUGGCAUGGUGUUUUAAAUAUAGGCUUGACAAGGUUGAGUUGACUUGGCAUAUAAAUUCAAUGAAAAUAAAUGUUUUGCUUUUAUAAAGUGCUCUGUUUAAUGUAAUGUGCUGCAAGUUAUUUUGUAUACAAGUACUGAUGUAGUUGACAGAGGGAGACCAUGUCUUGCAAUAAAUCGUAACAAUACUUGAUUUUUAGUCAUGUGUAGAUUACAUCAUACUGACUUUUUACAUAACUUGGAUGCACAACUAUCAUGUUCAUGAUGUUUCAUAAUGCUUAUUACAACAAAGAAAAAUGAAAUAUGAAAAAAUAAACAAAAAAAAUCGUUUUUAUUUUAAAGAAACAUUUUUUGAAGCGGGGGAAAUAUUUUUGUGUGCUUUUGAUGAAAUUCAUUGUCAAAGGGGGAGAGAUUUCAACACAUGUACAUACCAUAUUUUACCAAUAUUUUGGUGUUUAUUGGUGUUUCUCCAACAUUUUGAUGUUUUUCGUUUUCUUUUCAAAACCUUGAAAAUCUGAGAGUUAAGUGAAUGUGUGUGCCAAUCAAUGUUCAAUGUCUAGUGUUAAGGAGAUGUUGCCAGUGUUUUCAUCAAGGGGGAGAUUGUGAAAUCAUAUGUGAUGUGUAACAUUUUUUUCUCACCAAAAACAGUAGGAGAGGCUCCUACUGCUAGUAAGAUUAUUAAUGUGAUGUGUAACAUAUUUACAAAUGUACAAAUAGGAGCAUUCCCCUAUUUUAUUCAGAAAAGAUCUAUCAAACUAGUAAGAGAAGGAGAAAGGGAUUGAGACACCCUACAGCCUAGUAGAGAUAAAUCUGAUUUGAACUUAACUAACCGACCCUGGAAAUUGGCUCUCUCCCCUUGAAAAUGAGUUUAUUUCUGAUUUUCCAGAUAUUCCAAGCAGCUAACGAAAACACCUCAAAAAAGAGAUGGUUAUUAAAUCUUCUUUUGAUCUCAGGAAGAGCUUCAAUGCAAGUAGAAUUUCUUGGCCAGUUUAUACCAAUGUGUCUCCAACACCUUUGACUGAAUGGACACUCCAAGAAGAGGUGAUUCAAGGUUUCUUCACUUCCAGUGUUACAAAGCACACAAUUCAAACUUGAAUCAAUAUUAAAGUGUCUCCUAGAGAGCAUAUUUCUGGUGUUCAAUCUGUCACUAAGAAGAAGCCAAGCAAAAACCUUCACCUUUAGAGUAUUUUUAGAUUUCCAAAUCCACUUAAAAGGGGCAGGUGUGAUGAUCCUGGAGUAACAAAGCUUAUAGAAUUUGCUUGAUGAAAAGGUAGUACCCCAAGUUGGCAGCCAGAGAUCAUUUCUGAGAGCUGAAAUAUCAGCAUGAAUUAUUAACUCAUCUAGGACAUGCAUUUCCUCAAGAGCUUCUGGAGAAAUUGGAGUUAAAAAUCCUGCAGCAACUGAGCCAAGGUAGCAAUAUUUCUCAAUAGACAUAUCUUCAUCUCUCGCAUAGGAAUAAAGGCAGGCCAAUUUUCUGGAGAUUAUUUCCUCUUUGUACCAAGAAUCCUUCCAUAAGAGAACCGUGUCACCAUUUCCUGGCUUACAAGAAGAAAUACCCCUAAAGAGGGGAAUUAAUUUCAGAAUAGCCUUCCACCAAAAUGAACCCACUGGACUCAUGGCCUGAGGGACACCCUGUUGAUAAUAUGUCUCCCAUAAUAAAGUAACCCAUGGGAUAUCAUCCUUGUUAAAAAAUUUAAAAAGAUGUUUGAGCAAUAAUCCUUGAUUCUGCAAUCUAAGAUUAAAGACUCCCAAACCACCAUGUUUCUUAGGUCGACACACCUUAUCCAAAGCAACCAGAGCAUUAUUAGAAUCCCCAUUAGCAGUUUUCUUACUCCAUAGACAUCUUCUUCUAAUCUUAUCAAUUUGAUCCACAAUUUUGAAAGGAAGUUGAUCCCUCGACCAUCACGUGCUAAUCUUAUUAAUGUGAUGUGUAACAUUGGCAAGUGUUUUAGAUGAAACAUUGAUGUGGAUACUUUGGAUAAUAUAGAUACUUAUGUGAUGACACAAAACUCCUUGAGAUGAAAGAAUGCGAUGCACCGGUAUCAAACAGUACGAGUGCUUCAAAAGAAUUUAGGCGGAAGGUGCCGAUUACGAUACCUUGUUCCUCCGUGAUUUCCUCCACGUUGAUAUGGUUCACAUUGCCCUUCUGGAAUGGGUUAGGCUUUGCUCCAGCCUCAUUGAACUUCUCAGGACAAUCAUUGGAAUAGUGCCCCAUCUUGUGACACUUAAAGCAUUGCACUUGGCUCAGAUCCCUGCCAGUGGUGCGGUUCUGCCCUGGGUUGCCGCCAUUGUUAUGGCCACUGCCCUUGUUGUUGUUGAUCCUUGGAUGCUGGUGCUGGUGGUUCCGGCUGCCAUUACCUCCCUGGUGGUGGUGGUGUCCUUGACCUCCAUGGCGGUGAUGGUGUCCACUCCCUCCAUGGUGAUUCUGGUGGUUGUUACCAUGCUUAACCAUCGAGGAGCUGCCACUACCCUUGGACGAGGUGUGCGGCUUUUGGUGUGGACCAGCGUGGUUAUUGCCAUGGUGAGGCCUCUUCUUCCUGUUUUCCAUCUGAUUCUGCUUGUUUUCAAGGAUGAUGGCUUUACCAUGAGGGACUGGUAGGUAGGGAUGUAAAUGACUGCCAGUUAAACGGCGAGUUCGUCGUUCAAGCCAUCCAAGAACCUUUCCCCGCGUUUUGCAUCAGUGUUGACAUCGUCCAGGGCAUAGCGAGACAACUUGUUGAAAGCCUCGAUAUAUUCUGACACGGUCCUGUUCCCUUGCCUCAGUUUGUGUAAUUCCCUCUUCUUUAAGCUCAGCACGCCCGCAGAGAUGUGGGCGGUACGGAAGGCAUCUUGGAACAUUUCCCAUGUGACCUCCUCCAUUUGUAAUCUAAUAGGUCUCCCACCAAGCUACGACAGGUCCUUCAAGUAGGUGAGCAGCAAAUCUCACCUUGUUAGCUUCAGUGCAGCCAACUGUUACUAGGCAUUUGCUCACAGAACGGAGCCAAUCAUCAGCCACAAUCGGUUCCGAGGAGCUGGUGAAAGUAGGUGGGCGCAACCUCAGAUAUCUGGUUAACAUGUCCACUUGAGGUGGUGGGUUGGUGAUACGGGUGCGGGUGGCCCGAUCUUUCGAUGAGAUUGGUAACUCUCGAUUUGGGUAGGAGGUGACGUUGACGAUCCGACUACGGCCUAGGAGGCAGCGCCUUAGCAAUCGAUACACCAACUCCAAAGGGUUAUUGAUCACGCGGGGGCACGAUCAACCUGACCACGAAGGUCUUUGUUCCUGCAAGCAAUCGAAGAACAAGCAAGAACAAGAUAAAUAGCGGAUGCAAUCUAAAAUUGCGAAUAUACUAUAUCAAACCAAUGUCUCAACGAGACGAUAAGUUGGGGUUCCGAAAGCGGUAAAACAGGUGGUCUAACCGACACACGCGAUUACACGAAGUAGUAGCGAUGGCUAACUUUUAACUAAACAAAACCCAAGGCUCCUUAGGGGGGCUCAUGGGGUAUAUAAAGGAGGAGGGAGAGAUAUUUUCGUCCACCUUGAAUAAGGAGUCCGAAAUCCCACUCUAUCUCUAACUUUCCUAACAAACUACAACUCUUUAGGAAACAGAAAAACAGAUCCGUCAUCUUGUUUUGUCCGCCACGGUCAGCACGAGUCGAAUCUCUUGAUGGGGCCAGAUCCCUUGGAAAGGUCUUGUAAUUACCUUUCCAACAAGUACUUGUUUGCUUGAUUUGGACUCCGGAUGCGGCCUGGGUGAUUAAAACAAAUUCGGGUCUCCUGGCAGCUCGGACCCGAAUCGGAUUCCACUUUAAUUCGUGAUGUCUUUCUCUAGCAAGCUCCGAAUCAUGUGCCGUUUGAUUUCUUGGAAAGUAGACUUGAUAGGCUUCACUUUGAAUCUCCCUUUGCAGGCUAUCACACUUCAUCUUCACUUUGGAUUUGUAAAGUUCAUUAAGAUGCCUACAUAAUAAGAUUACACAAGAUAGUAGCUCCGCCUCAUUGCAAGUAACAUAUUGAAAACAUUUUGUAAUUGAAUUCACCUGAUUAUAAUUGUUAUUAGAUACACCAACAAUUAGGGUUCUAAUGGUCGUAUCCAUGGUGAUCAUGUCCAUAUCAUCCUCCCUUUCUUGAAAGAAAAGCCGUCCUCGGCGUCGUUUGUGCUGAAAAGAGACUGACAAAAUAGACAAAGUGUGUGCAUGGUAUAUGUAUAUGUCAUCAAUUUUAACUCCACUCCCAUGCUGCACAUUCGAUGUUUCACGUAAAUAAAACUCAUAAUAGUGCAAAAAAUUAAUAGUCAUAUUCCAACAGCAAGUAUCACAUUUUAAUUUGUAAUUCUCAUCAUUAAACGAUCCUAAUGUAGGUGAACAAUAAUUCAGAAUUCCCAAAUGGCGAGCUACAAUAUGCGUCAAUGUGCAAUCAUGCCAUAAGUUAUUUGUCGUACAACUAUCACCAAUAUUAGAGGUCAUAUCAAAAUGAUUGAGCAUACACAAAAUAUUGUUGUCUCUCAAAUCAAGAAAGUUGUCACAAGCAAUGCAAAUCUGAUGCACCAAAACUUUAUUGUUGACAUCAUGUUCUCCAAUUAAUUGAAUAGUGUAUCCAUGGGCAUUAGCAAAAGAUUUUGAAAUUGUUAACUCAGAAACUUUAUCCAUUGCAUGUGACAAAUAUAUAGGUGUAUCAAGUGUAAUAUAACACAAAGAAUUAAUAGGUGGAUCCUUAUCAAUCACUCCAUGUCUAAUCAACUCGAAACAACCUAAAUCAAAUUUAUCUAUCUCACUUGUUUCUCCCAAAACAUUAGUUCUUUCCUCACAUGAUUCGUUCUCAUCAAUAUCAAAAUCAAUUUGUGCACUCAAAUCAUUAGAAGAAUUAAUUUCAGUAGUAGGUGCACUUGAAUCACCAUGUACGACAAUAAUUUCACAUGGUGCAGAAAAUUCAACAGGUAUCACAUUUAUUUCAUCACAUGCCCUUUUUAGUUCAGCAACACAAUCCUCUGUAUCACUACCUUGUGGGCUCGACUCAUUUGUAGUAGACCCUCGCUGUAAUUUCCUCUCAACUUUACGAGCAAGAUUAAGCAAACACAAAAGAGAGUCGUAUUUUCCAUAUUCAAUCAUGUAAGAAAUAUCAAAGUUAAGCCCACAAUAAAACCUAUCCAUUUUUCUUUGUUCGGUUUCAUCUAAACCAGAUCGCAAGGUUAUAAUUUGGAACUCAUUGUAGUAAUCAUCAACAGUUUUAUCAUCUUGUGCCAAACGUCGUAAUUUUGAACGCAAGUUAAAAGCAUAACUAAAAGGGACAUAUUUUUCUCUCAUGAUUUUCUUCAUAUCAACCCAAGUGUGGGGAAUUUUCUUUUCUCUAACUAUCUCAUUCCACCAAGAUAAAGCAGCAAAAGUAAAUUUACUACUAGCAAUUUGAACCUUACGACUAUCUAGUACAUCGAAGCAUGUGAACUGUUCAGUUAAAGCUAGCUCCCAAUCUAUAUACGUUUCAGCAUCAUUUUCCCCCUCAAAGAAAGGUACACACAAUUUAAUUGUAUUAGAAGGAUUGUUUUGUACCGUUGCCGUGGCAUUAUCAACAAGAGACGUGGAAGAUGGCCGUGGUGAAAAGCACUCAUCGCGGUCACGGGAUAGCAUCGGUCUAGUUGCCAUGCUUCGUGUAAGUCCUGUCAUGGUUAGUAGAAAACAAGAAACAAAACACAGUAAUAUGUUCCUAUCAACUACUAGGAUGUGGCUACAAGUCGCUCAACUCUCAAGCUAAAAAUCAAGUUCUUACAAGUUCUUACCAUGCAAAACAGGAAGGUGAUGGCCAGCGGCGUGACCAAGCCCUCCGAAUAUUAAAUGUAUCAAUGCCUCGGUAACAAACCAACCUAGGUGUAGAAUCUGUGGAGCUUGGAGGCUUUUGUGAGUAGCAAGGAAUAGCAAAUAAUCAAAUCAGCAAUGCAAAGUUGAAAAUAUGCUCAAUAAUGCUAGUCCUAGCUGCUGGAGUCGAUAAGAACGAAUUACAGAAAUAAUCUAAGCCUAGAUACUGAAAAAGGUAGGAUAGAAAGAUGGCACAACAAGUAAAUCCCUGGGAUUUUUUUUCUUUUUUUUUUCUUUUUGUGGCCUUCUGUUUGGCUUCUUAUUCUUUUCUUCUUCUUUUUUUCUUUUUUCUUUUUUAACCCCAGAAACUCACGCAAAAGAAGGACCGGAAAACUGUACGUCGGUCUGCCGAAGAACAGCAAAGGCUGCAGUAAGAAAAAUUCAGAAAAAUAUGAAAAAAUAUGGGUUAGAAGCGUAUCAAAACAAGCUUUCCAACAAGUGCAAGAUCACUCGAAAUGGAGGUCGGACGGUGGAGAAAACUGAGAUAUACUGCGCUGCCCUGGUGCCGUAAAACGGGUGCAGAAACUUUGGAGCUCGAAAAGUCCACCUUAGAUGCCGAAUUUGAGGGUCAAAGUGCAGGGCGGCGCCCUGGAUAUUUCCUGAUGUGCCUCGUCGUGAGCUUUCCAAAAAGUCCAAGAACGUCCAAAUCCGAGUUGGUAUGCAAAAGAUACGUCCGUUUUACUGAACACGGGCCAAACCCACCCGAAACUAAAAUUCUACUCGGACUCGGGUCCGAAACUGACUCGAACUCUUUCUCUCUUUUUUUUUCGUUUUUUUUUUCUUUCUUUCUUCCCUUUUUUUUUUUCUUUCCCUUCUUUUUUUUUCACAACUUUCCGAACAACUUGAUCUCUAACAAAAUUCGAUCUAUUAUGAAACACUUUCCAAAAGCACUCUUGAUUGGACUCGGACUCGAACUCACGGCUGAAAACUAUAACUUGCCGAUUCGAUGUAGGACUCGACGAGGGACUCGGUGUAGGACUCGAAGAGGGACUCGGUGUAGGACUGGAAGAAGGACUCGGUGUAGGACUCGAAGAGGGACUCGGUGUAGGACUCGAAGAGGGACUCGGUGGAAGAUAUGGUGGCGGCGGAAGAUUAUGGCGGUGGUGUGGCAGGAAGUUUGGCGGCGGAAGAUUGAUGAAGGAAACCUGCGUCACACGAAGAACAAGAAAACCAAAAGCAAGUUCGAUCUAGUAGAAAAAAUCUGAAAAACGAUCCAAUCUAAUCCAGCAACUCGACACGAUUAAUGCAGCAAAGAUUCAACAAUGCAAAUACUAAUGUGAAAAUUGCAAAGCUCAGAUUGGUUCUAGGACAAGGUAACUAAUUCUAUUUUUUGUUUGGCUUUUUCUGGACGAUAGGUAAAAACAGAUCUAAACUAUGGAUAAACUGGAAAAAUCUCACCGAGCAACCUUAAGCUCUGAUACCACGUGAUACGGGUGCGGGUGGCCCGAUCUUUCGAUGAGAUUGGUAACUCUCGAUUUGGGUAGGAGGUGACGUUGACGAUCCGACUACGGCCUAGGAGGCAGCGCCUUAGCAAUCGAUACACCAACUCCAAAGGGUUAUUGAUCACGCGGGGGCACGAUCAACCUGACCACGAAGGUCUUUGUUCCUGCAAGCAAUCGAAGAACAAGCAAGAACAAGAUAAAUAGCGGAUGCAAUCUAAAAUUGCGAAUAUACUAUAUCAAACCAAUGUCUCAACGAGACGAUAAGUUGGGGUUCCGAAAGCGGUAAAACAGGUGGUCUAACCGACACACGCGAUUACACGAAGUAGUAGCGAUGGCUAACUUUUAACUAAACAAAACCCAAGGCUCCUUAGGGGGGCUCAUGGGGUAUAUAAAGGAGGAGGGAGAGAUAUUUUCGUCCACCUUGAAUAAGGAGUCCGAAAUCCCACUCUAUCUCUAACUUUCCUAACAAACUACAACUCUUUAGGAAACAGAAAAACAGAUCCGUCAUCUUGUUUUGUCCGCCACGGUCAGCACGAGUCGAAUCUCUUGAUGGGGCCAGAUCCCUUGGAAAGGUCUUGUAAUUACCUUUCCAACAAGUACUUGUUUGCUUGAUUUGGACUCCGGAUGCGGCCUGGGUGAUUAAAACAAAUUCGGGUCUCCUGGCAGCUCGGACCCGAAUCGGAUUCCACUUUAAUUCGUGAUGUCUUUCUCUAGCAAGCUCCGAAUCAUGUGCCGUUUGAUUUCUUGGAAAGUAGACUUGAUAGGCUUCACUUUGAAUCUCCCUUUGCAGGCUAUCACACUUCAUCUUCACUUUGGAUUUGUAAAGUUCAUUAAGAUGCCUACAUAAUAAGAUUACACAAGAUAGUAGCUCCGCCUCAUUGCAAGUAACAUAUUGAAAACAUUUUGUAAUUGAAUUCACCUGAUUAUAAUUGUUAUUAGAUACACCAACAAUUAGGGUUCUAAUGGUCGUAUCCAUGGUGAUCAUGUCCAUAUCAUCCUCCCUUUCUUGAAAGAAAAGCCGUCCUCGGCGUCGUUUGUGCUGAAAAGAGACUGACAAAAUAGACAAAGUGUGUGCAUGGUAUAUGUAUAUGUCAUCAAUUUUAACUCCACUCCCAUGCUGCACAUUCGAUGUUUCACGUAAAUAAAACUCAUAAUAGUGCAAAAAAUUAAUAGUCAUAUUCCAACAGCAAGUAUCACAUUUUAAUUUGUAAUUCUCAUCAUUAAACGAUCCUAAUGUAGGUGAACAAUAAUUCAGAAUUCCCAAAUGGCGAGCUACAAUAUGCGUCAAUGUGCAAUCAUGCCAUAAGUUAUUUGUCGUACAACUAUCACCAAUAUUAGAGGUCAUAUCAAAAUGAUUGAGCAUACACAAAAUAUUGUUGUCUCUCAAAUCAAGAAAGUUGUCACAAGCAAUGCAAAUCUGAUGCACCAAAACUUUAUUGUUGACAUCAUGUUCUCCAAUUAAUUGAAUAGUGUAUCCAUGGGCAUUAGCAAAAGAUUUUGAAAUUGUUAACUCAGAAACUUUAUCCAUUGCAUGUGACAAAUAUAUAGGUGUAUCAAGUGUAAUAUAACACAAAGAAUUAAUAGGUGGAUCCUUAUCAAUCACUCCAUGUCUAAUCAACUCGAAACAACCUAAAUCAAAUUUAUCUAUCUCACUUGUUUCUCCCAAAACAUUAGUUCUUUCCUCACAUGAUUCGUUCUCAUCAAUAUCAAAAUCAAUUUGUGCACUCAAAUCAUUAGAAGAAUUAAUUUCAGUAGUAGGUGCACUUGAAUCACCAUGUACGACAAUAAUUUCACAUGGUGCAGAAAAUUCAACAGGUAUCACAUUUAUUUCAUCACAUGCCCUUUUUAGUUCAGCAACACAAUCCUCUGUAUCACUACCUUGUGGGCUCGACUCAUUUGUAGUAGACCCUCGCUGUAAUUUCCUCUCAACUUUACGAGCAAGAUUAAGCAAACACAAAAGAGAGUCGUAUUUUCCAUAUUCAAUCAUGUAAGAAAUAUCAAAGUUAAGCCCACAAUAAAACCUAUCCAUUUUUCUUUGUUCGGUUUCAUCUAAACCAGAUCGCAAGGUUAUAAUUUGGAACUCAUUGUAGUAAUCAUCAACAGUUUUAUCAUCUUGUGCCAAACGUCGUAAUUUUGAACGCAAGUUAAAAGCAUAACUAAAAGGGACAUAUUUUUCUCUCAUGAUUUUCUUCAUAUCAACCCAAGUGUGGGGAAUUUUCUUUUCUCUAACUAUCUCAUUCCACCAAGAUAAAGCAGCAAAAGUAAAUUUACUACUAGCAAUUUGAACCUUACGACUAUCUAGUACAUCGAAGCAUGUGAACUGUUCAGUUAAAGCUAGCUCCCAAUCUAUAUACGUUUCAGCAUCAUUUUCCCCCUCAAAGAAAGGUACACACAAUUUAAUUGUAUUAGAAGGAUUGUUUUGUACCGUUGCCGUGGCAUUAUCAACAAGAGACGUGGAAGAUGGCCGUGGUGAAAAGCACUCAUCGCGGUCACGGGAUAGCAUCGGUCUAGUUGCCAUGCUUCGUGUAAGUCCUGUCAUGGUUAGUAGAAAACAAGAAACAAAACACAGUAAUAUGUUCCUAUCAACUACUAGGAUGUGGCUACAAGUCGCUCAACUCUCAAGCUAAAAAUCAAGUUCUUACAAGUUCUUACCAUGCAAAACAGGAAGGUGAUGGCCAGCGGCGUGACCAAGCCCUCCGAAUAUUAAAUGUAUCAAUGCCUCGGUAACAAACCAACCUAGGUGUAGAAUCUGUGGAGCUUGGAGGCUUUUGUGAGUAGCAAGGAAUAGCAAAUAAUCAAAUCAGCAAUGCAAAGUUGAAAAUAUGCUCAAUAAUGCUAGUCCUAGCUGCUGGAGUCGAUAAGAACGAAUUACAGAAAUAAUCUAAGCCUAGAUACUGAAGAAGGUAGGAUAGAAAGAUGGCACAACAAGUAAAUCCCUGGGAUUUUUUUUCUUUUUUUUUUCUUUUUGUGGCCUUCUGUUUGGCUUCUUAUUCUUUUCUUCUUCUUUUUUUCUUUUUUCUUUUUUAACCCCAGAAACUCACGCAAAAGAAGGACCGGAAAACUGUACGUCGGUCUGCCGAAGAACAGCAAAGGCUGCAGUAAGAAAAAUUCAGAAAAAUAUGAAAAAAUAUGGGUUAGAAGCGUAUCAAAACAAGCUUUCCAACAAGUGCAAGAUCACUCGAAAUGGAGGUCGGACGGUGGAGAAAACUGAGAUAUACUGCGCUGCCCUGGUGCCGUAAAACGGGUGCAGAAACUUUGGAGCUCGAAAAGUCCACCUUAGAUGCCGAAUUUGAGGGUCAAAGUGCAGGGCGGCGCCCUAGAUAUUUCCUGAUGUGCCUCGUCGUGAGCUUUCCAAAAAGUCCAAGAACGUCCAAAUCCGAGUUGGUAUGCAAAAGAUACGUCCGUUUUACUGAACACGGGCCAAACCCACCCGAAACUAAAAUUCUACUCGGACUCGGGUCCGAAACUGACUCGAACUCUUUCUCUCUUUUUUUUUCGUUUUUUUUUUCUUUCUUUCUUCCCUUUUUUUUUUUCUUUCCCUUCUUUUUUUUUCACAACUUUCCGAACAACUUGAUCUCUAACAAAAUUCGAUCUAUUAUGAAACACUUUCCAAAAGCACUCUUGAUUGGACUCGGACUCGAACUCACGGCUGAAAACUAUAACUUGCCGAUUCGAUGUAGGACUCGACGAGGGACUCGGUGUAGGACUCGAAGAGGGACUCGGUGUAGGACUGGAAGAAGGACUCGGUGUAGGACUCGAAGAGGGACUCGGUGUAGGACUCGAAGAGGGACUCGGUGGAAGAUAUGGUGGCGGCGGAAGAUUAUGGCGGUGGUGUGGCAGGAAGUUUGGCGGCGGAAGAUUGAUGAAGGAAACCUGCGUCACACGAAGAACAAGAAAACCAAAAGCAAGUUCGAUCUAGUAGAAAAAAUCUGAAAAACGAUCCAAUCUAAUCCAGCAACUCGACACGAUUAAUGCAGCAAAGAUUCAACAAUGCAAAUACUAAUGUGAAAAUUGCAAAGCUCAGAUUGGUUCUAGGACAAGGUAACUAAUUCUAUUUUUUGUUUGGCUUUUUCUGGACGAUAGGUAAAAACAGAUCUAAACUAUGGAUAAACUGGAAAAAUCUCACCGAGCAACCUUAAGCUCUGAUACCACGUGAUACGGGUGCGGGUGGCCCGAUCUUUCGAUGAGAUUGGUAACUCUCGAUUUGGGUAGGAGGUGACGUUGACGAUCCGACUACGGCCUAGGAGGCAGCGCCUUAGCAAUCGAUACACCAACUCCAAAGGGUUAUUGAUCACGCGGGGGCACGAUCAACCUGACCACGAAGGUCUUUGUUCCUGCAAGCAAUCGAAGAACAAGCAAGAACAAGAUAAAUAGCGGAUGCAAUCUAAAAUUGCGAAUAUACUAUAUCAAACCAAUGUCUCAACGAGACGAUAAGUUGGGGUUCCGAAAGCGGUAAAACAGGUGGUCGACCACGUGAUACGGGUGCGGGUGGCCCGAUCUUUCGAUGAGAUUGGUAACUCUCGAUUUGGGUAGGAGGUGACGUUGACGAUCCGACUACGGCCUAGGAGGCAGCGCCUUAGCAAUCGAUACACCAACUCCAGAGGGUUAUUGAUCACGCGGGGGCACGAUCAACCUGACCACGAAGGUCUUUGUUCCUGCAAGCAAUCGAAGAACAAGCAAGAACAAGAUAAAUAGCGGAUGCAAUCUAAAAUUGCGAAUAUACUAUAUCAAACCAAUGUCUCAAGGAGACGAUAAGUUGGGGUUCCGAAAGCGGUAAAACAGGUGGUCUAACCGACACACGCGAUUACACGAAGUAGUAGCGAUGGCUAACUUUUAACUAAACAAAACCCAAGGCUCCUUAGGGGGGCUCAUGGGGUAUAUAAAGGAGGAGGGAGAGAUAUUUUCGUCCACCUUGAAUAAGGAGUCCGAAAUCCCACUCUAUCUCUAACUUUCCUAACAAACUACAACUCUUUAGGAAACAGAAAAACAGAUCCGUCAUCUUGUUUUGUCCGCCACGGUCAGCACGAGUCGAAUCUCUUGAUGGGGCCAGAUCCCUUGGAAAGGUCUUGUAAUUACCUUUCCAACAAGUACUUGUUUGCUUGAUUUGGACUCCGGAUGCGGCCUGGGUGAUUAAAACAAAUUCGGGUCUCCUGGCAGCUCGGACCCGAAUCGGAUUCCACUUUAAUUCGUGAUGUCUUUCUCUAGCAAGCUCCGAAUCAUGUGCCGUUUGAUUUCUUGGAAAGUAGACUUGAUAGGCUUCACUUUGAAUCUCCCUUUGCAGGCUAUCACACUUCAUCUUCACUUUGGAUUUGUAAAGUUCAUUAAGAUGCCUACAUAAUAAGAUUACACAAGAUAGUAGCUCCGCCUCAUUGCAAGUAACAUAUUGAAAACAUUUUGUAAUUGAAUUCACCUGAUUAUAAUUGUUAUUAGAUACACCAACAAUUAGGGUUCUAAUGGUCGUAUCCAUGGUGAUCAUGUCCAUAUCAGUUGGGGUGCUGGUUGUUGUUGUUGUUGUUGUUGUUGUCGUCGUCGUCGUUCUUGUUGUUGUUGUUGUUGUUGUUGUUGUUGUUGUCGUUGUCGUCGUCGUCGUCGUCGUCGUCGUUGUUGUUGUUGUUGGAGAUACAUGGACCAAUUACUAGAGCUCGUGCACGACAACUAAAUUGUCAGGUACUUUCGUUCCUCAGUACUUCAUUUAAUAUUAAUGAGAAUAUGCUGUUGCCUAAGAUGGGUUCUUUUAAGUGUUUUAGGAAUGAAGGAUCUAACUUGGACCUCAAGGAUCAGCGUUGGACAGCAAACCAUGGAGGUGGCAGCAAGGUGGCGGGAGCUAGCUCAAGUGAUGAUUUCAGAACAUUGAAACCGCCAUAACGAGAGAUGUGAAGAAGGCCGCAUCCUCUUCAUCAAUGGGAUUUCGGCCAAGUGGAGGAUUCCCCCUCCAAUGGGUAUCUAUGGGCCAAAAAUGAGGGUUAUAACCUUGCUUUAUUAGGCCUAAGGCCAUGUAAUAGGGUCCAGCCAAUUUUUAGAUGUUUUCGUUGUGUUUUAGGAGGAUUCCUAGGCCGUUUUGGAGUCCCUCAAGGGCCUGGCCGAAAACCACCUAGUUCCCCUCCUAUUUAUACCCCAUGAGUCCCCCUAUGGAGCCUUGGGUUUUGAUUAGAUAAAGUUUAGCCUUUGCUACUUUCGUGUAAUCGCGUGUGUCGGUUAGACCACCUGUUUUACCGUCAUCAAGACUCCAACUAUAUUGAGUAUUCAGAUUCGUGAACAUAUCUCCUAUUCGCAAUUUCAGAUUGCUUUUCAUCUUGUUCUUGCUUGUUCUUCGAUUGCUUGCAGGAACAAAGACCUUCGUGGUCAUGUUGAUCGUGCCCCCACGGGAUCAAUAACCUUCUGGAGUUGGUGUAUCGAUCGCUAAGGCGCUGCCUCCUAGGUUGUAGUCGGAUCGUCAACGUCACCUCCUACCAAAUCGAUAAUUAGGUAUCUCAUCGAAAGAUCGGGACACCCUCCAGGCUAUCACGUGGUAUCAGAGCUUAAGGUUGCUCGGUGAGAUCUUUCAAUUUAUCCCUAGAUUAGAUCCGUUUUUUUUUACCUAUCGUCAAGAAAAAGCCAAAAAAAAUUAGAUUAGUUACCUAGUCCUAGAACCAAUCUGAGCCUUGCAGUUUUCACAUUAGUUUUGCAUUGUUGAAUCUUUGCUGCAUUAAUCGUGUCAAGUUGCUGGAUUAGAUUGGAUCGUUUUUCAGAUUUUUUCUACUGGAUCGAACUUGUUUUUGUCUUUUGAUUUCGUGUGACGCAGGCUUUCCAUCAAUCUUCCACCGCGAAACUUCCUGCCACACCACCGCCAUAAUCUUCCGCUGCCACCAUAUCUGCCACCGAGUCCCUCUUCGAGUCCUACACCGAGUCACUCUUCGAGUCGUACACCGAGUCCCUCGUCGAGUCGUACACCGAGUCGGCAAGUUAUAGUUUUCAGCCGUGAGUUCGAGUCCGAGUCCAAUCAAGAGUGCUUUCGGAAAGUGUUUCAUAAUAGAUCGAAUUUUGUUUAGAGAUCAAGUUGUUCGGAAAGUUGUGAAAAAAAAGAAAGGAAAGAAAAAAAAAGGAAAGUAAGAAAGUAAAAAAACCGGAAAAAAAGAGAAAGAGUUCGAGUUAGUUUCGGACCCGAGUCCAAGUAGAAUUAGAGUUUCGGGUGGGUUUGACCCGUGUUCACUAAAACGGGCGUAUCUUUUGCAUACGAAGUCGGAUUUGGACGUUCCAGGACUUUUCGGAAAGCUCUCGAUGAGGCGCAUCCUCUAAAAUUAAUGGCUCCUUGACCCUCAAAUUCGGCCUCUAAGGUCGACUUUUUGAGCUCCGAAGUUUCUGCACCUGUUUUUCGGCACCGGGGCAGCGCAGUAUAUCUCAGUUUUCUCCACCAUCCGACCUCCGUUUCGAGUGAUCUUGCACUUGUUGGAAAGCUUGUUUUGAUACGCUUCGAACCCAUAUUUUCUCAUUUUUUUUCUGAGUUUUCCUUACUACAGUCUUUGCUAUUCUUCUACAGACCGACGUGCAGCUUUCCGGUCUUAACUUCUUUUGCGUGAGUUUCUGGGGACAAAAAAACAGAAAAAAAAUAGAAAAGAAUAAGAAGCCAAACAGAAGGCCACAAGAAGAAAAAAAAGACAAAAAAAUAUUCCCCAGAGAUUUACUUGUUUUACCUUUCAUUUGAUCUUUCCUUUCUACCUUCUUCAGUAUCUAGGCUUAGAUUAUUUCUGUAAUUCGUUCUUAUCGACUCCAGCAGCUAGGACUAGCAUUUUUGAGCAUAUUUUCAACUUUGCAUUGCUGAUUUGAUUAUUUGCUUUUCCUUGCUACUCACAUAAGCCUCCAAGCUCCACAGGUUCUACACCUAGGUUGGUUUGCCGCGAGGCAUCGAUACAUUAAUCUUCGGAGGGCUUGUUCUCGCCGCUAGCCAUCACCUUCCUGUUUGCUGGGUAAGAACGAGUAAGAACUUGAUUAAAAGUUGAGUGGAGUGAUCUUUGGAACCCCACAUCCUAGUAGUGCAUAGGGACUUUUCCUUGUGAUUUGUUUCUUGUUUUCUCCUAACGAUAGCAGGUUCUGACGAUGAUUUACAAGGCCACUCUCCACGCACAAAGGGCAUUAUUUCACAUUUUGAUCGCAAGCUUAGGCUCCGUAACGAGGAGCUGGAUGAGGACAUUCGGGUUGCGAAUGAGAGACUUGGAACCUUGGAGAGCGCGCACAUUGAAACAAAUACCAAGCUAACAUCUUUACAGAAUUCUGUUGCUACCAUUAGUACUUCUCUGGCAGAAAUCACAACGCAACUGGCGGCACUUGCUGCAACAACCAUCGCUUUAUCGGGAGGAAACAAUACACACAACCAGCGGACCACUAAUAACGGUACCUUCGCAAGUGAGGUUGAGGAGAAUGACCACGACUACUCCGCGGAUACGGAACAAGACGGGGCCGUAAACCAUCACAACGACCAUGAUCAUCGCUGAACUCGUUUCAACCGCCGAGGUAUGGGACCGACACGACCUCAAAGAGAGGAACAUGACUCGCUGCAUUCUAUUAAAGUUAAGGUUCCUCCUUUUGAUGGAAAAUAUGACCCUGAUGCUUACCUUACAUGGGAAAUAGAAUUGAGUCAAAAAUUGACUUGCCAUGAUUUUCGUGCUAAUAAGAGGGUUAGGGCUGCUACUAGUGAGUUUACUGAUUUUGCUUCUGUUUGGUGGCAUGAUUAUUGUAUUGCACAUCCUCACGCUAUACCACCAACAUGGGAUGAUUUGAAAAGAAUUAUGCGCGCUAGAUAUGUUCCUUCAUACUAUUCGCGUGACUUGUUAAAGAAACUACAACAAUUAAGGCAAGGUAGUAAUUCUGUCCAAGAUUAUUAUCAAGAAAUGCAAAAGAACAUGUUACGUUGUGGUUUAGUUUAGAAUGAGGAAGCUGCUAUGGCUAGAUUCUUUGGUGGUUUAAAUCGUGAAAUUGCUGACAUCGUUGGUUAUAAGGAGUACAAUUCUAUCAAUCGAUUGUUUCACAUUGCUUGCAAAGCUGAAAGGGAAGUGCAGGGAUGACACGCGAACGUGCGGACUAACUUUUCUGCAGGUCGUACUUCCUCAUGGGCAGCACGCAGCCCCGCUGCCCCUUCCACACGCCCAGCUGCACCCCCUACACAUCUGGCUGUUCCGACUACUUCCACCAACAAGCAAAGUACCUCAGCAGCAACAAGAAAUACACCCGCUGCCUCUGCACAAAGUUCAGCAGCGUCCGUUGCUUCCAAACAAAAGGGGUCAUCAAGGAGCGCGUUGUUCGUAUCAUCAUAGAUGGGGGAAGUUGCAAUAAUUUGGCCAGCACAGAGAUGGUGGAAAAACUUGUUCUUACCACCAGGCCGCACCCCCACCCUUACUACAUUCAAUGGUUUAACAACAGCGGUAAGGUCAAGGUAAGUAGAACAGUCCGUGCACGCUUUACUAUUGGUACAUAUUCUGAUUUUGUGGAUUGUGAUGUGGUACCUAUGCAAGCAUGUUCUAUGUUACUCGGUCAUCCAUGGCAAUAUGAUACAGAUUCUGUUCAUCAUGGUAGAACUAAUCAUUAUUCUUUUAUCCAUGCUGGUAAGAAAAUUGGUUUGAAACCUAUGACUCCUGAACAAAUUGUGAAAGAUGAUCUUGCUAGAGCUAGUAGAGCAAAGAGCAAAGAGAAGGAUAAGAGUGAGUACCAGAAUGUCGCUAAAGAAUUUAAGCACCAAGCGUCUACUAGCAAAUCUGAACCGAAACAUGUUAAUGAAAUUAAAUUGAAAGGUGCAUGCUUGCUUGCAAGUAAAUCGGAUAUUUCUGAGUUAGAUAUGAAUAAUGCUGUUUGCUAUGCAUUACUUUGCAAAAAGGCUUUGUUUUCAUUUGAGGAUAUGCCUCCCUCUUUGCCCCCUGCUGUUACUCACGUUUUGCAGGAGUAUUCCGACGUCUUUCCACAAGACGUACCACCAGGAUUACCACCUAUUCGAGGGGUUGAACAUCAAAUUGAUUUAAUCUCUGGUGCUUCGCUGCCCAACCGUGCGCCCUACCGUACCAAUCCAGAGGAGACGAAGGAGAUUCAACGACAAGUUCAAGAAUUGCUCGACAAAGGUUAUGUUCGUGAAUCCCUUAGUCCUUGUGCUGUUCCUGUUAUUUUGGUACCAAAGAAAGAUGGUUCUUGGUGUAUGUGUGUAGAUUGUAGAGCUAUUAAUAACAUUACUAUUCGCUAUCGUCACCCAAUUCCUAGACUUCAUGAUAUGUUAGAUGAAUUAAGUGGCUCUACCGUGUUCUCUAAAGUUGAUUUACGUAGUGGUUACCACCAAAUUCGAAUGAAAUUAGGCGAUGAAUGGAAAACAGCAUUUAAAACUAAGUUUGGACUAUAUGAGUGGUUAGUCAUGCCUUUCGGUCUUACUAAUGCACCUAGCACUUUCAUGCGGUUAAUGAACGAAGUUUUACAUGCUUUCAUAGGACGAUUUGUGGUGGUUUAUUUUGAUGAUAUAUUGAUUUACAACAGCUCUUUAGAAGACCACUUGAAUCAUUUACGUGCUGUUUUUGAUGCUUUGAGAGAUGCACGUUUGUUUGGUAACCUUGAGAAGUGCACCUUUUGCACCGAUCGAGUUUCGUUUCUUGGCUAUGUUGUCAUUCCACAGGGCAUAGAAGUUGAUAAGGCCAAGAUCGACGCUAUUCAAAGCUGGCCAACUCCAACAAUGGUCACCCAAGUGAGGAGCUUUCUUGGACUCGCUGGGUUUUAUCGCCGCUUUGUUAAGGAUUUCAGCACCCUUGCUGCACCGCUUAAUGAGCUCACAAAGAAGGACGUUCCAGAUGUAUGGGGCGCUGCACAAGAAGAAGCUUUUCUCGUAUUGAAAGAUAAGUUGACACAUGCUCCUUUACUCCAACUUCCUGAUUUUAAUAAGACUUUUGAGUUGGAGUGUGAUGCUAGUGGAAUCGGUUUAGGAGGUGUGUUGUUACAAGAUGGAAAACCUGUUGCAUACUUUAGUGAAAAAUUGAUUGGGCUUAGUCUGAAUUAUUCUACUUAUGAUAAGGAAUUAUAUGCUCUCGUUCGGACUUUAGAAAAACAUGACAACAUUAUUUAUGGCCCAAAGAAUUUGUUAUACAUUUUGAUCAAGAAUCUUUGAAGCAUAUUCGUAGUCAAGCAAAGCUGAACCGUCGUCAUGCUAAAUGGGUUGAAUUUAUUGAGUCUUUUCCAUAUGUUAUUAAACAUAAGAAGGGUAAAGAUAAUGUUAUUGCUGAUGCGUUCACGUCGUUAUACCUUGUUAUCUCAGCUUGAUUUUCGGAUAUUUGGAUUGGAGACUAUAAAAGAACAAUAUGAACAUGAUGCAGAUUUUAAGGAUGUUUUGCAGCAUUGUAAAGAGGGCAGAACAUGGAACAAGUUCGUCAUUAAUGAUGGAUUUGUGUUCCGUGCUAACAAGCUAUGCAUCCCAGAUAGCUCCGUUCGUCUUUUGUUGUUACAGGAGGCACAUGGAGGAGGGUUGAUGGGUCACUUCGGCGUGAAGAAGACCGAAGAUGUGCUCGCUGAUCAUUUCUUUUGGCCUCGGAUGAGAGGGGAUGUUGAGAGAUUUAUCGCUCGCUGCACUACAUGUCAAAAAGCUAAGUCACGACUCAAUCCUCAUGGUUUAUAUAUUUCUCUCCCUGUUCCUAAUGUUCCUUGAGAAGAUAUAUCAAUGGAUUUUGUUUUGGGAUUGCCUCGAACUAAGAAGGGGAGGGAUAGCAUAUUUGUUGUUGUUGAUAGAUUUUCUAAGAUGGCACAAUUUAUACCUUGCAUAAGAGCGUUCAUGCUACAAAUAUUGCUGAUUUAUUCUUUCGUGAAAUUGUUCGCUUGCAUGGUGUGCCCAAUACUAUAGUUUCAGAUUGUGACACAAAAUUUCUUAGCCACUUUUGGAGAUGUUUAUGGGCUAAGUUGGGGACUAAAUUGCUUUUUAGUACUACAUGUCAUCCCCAAACAGAUGGACAAACUGAAGUUGUUAAUAGAACAUUAUCUACUAUGCUUAGGGCUGUUUUAAAGAAGAACUUGAAAAUGUGGGAAGAAUAUUUACCUCAUAUUGAAUUUGCAUAUAAUCGUUCACUGCAUUCAACCACAAAAUUGUGCCCUUUUGAAAUUGUUUAUGGUUUUAUAUCUCGUGCACCAAUUGACUUGUUACCUUUGCCAACUUCUGAAGAAGUUAACUUUGAUGCUAAGGAACGUGCUGAACUUAUAAUAAAAAUGCAUGAGACGACUAAAGAGAACAUUGAGCGUAUGAAUUCUAAGUAUUAGCUUGCGGGAGAUAGGGGCAGAAAACAAAUUGUGUUUGAACUUGGAGAUCUUGUUUGGUUGCAUUUGCACAAAGAUCGUUUUCCUGAUUUGCGCAAGUCUAAGUUAAUGCCACGAGCUGAUGGUCCCUUUAAGGCGUUAGCGAAAAUUAAUGAUAAUGCAUAUAAACUUGAGCUACCCCCAGAUUUUGGGGUUAGUCCCACGUUUAAUAUUGCAGAUUUGAAGCCUUAUUUGGGAGAAGAAGAUGAACUACCGUCGUGGACAUCCCAACUAAUGAUAGAACCACAGCACCUACACCUCAAGUACCGUAGAUACAUGGACCAAUUACUAGAGCUCGUGCACGACAACUAAAUUAUCAGGUACUUUUUUUCCUCGGUACCUCAUUUAAUAUUAAUGAGAAUAUGCUGCUGCCUAAGAUGGGUUCUUUUAUGUGUUUUAGGAAUGAAGGACCUAGCUUGGACCUCAAGGAUCAGCGUUGGACAGCAAACCAUGGAGGUGGCAGCAAGGUGGCAGGAGCUAGCUCAAGUGAUGAUUUCAGAACAUUGAAACCGCCAUAACGAGAGAUGUGAAGAAGGCCGCAUCCUCUUCAUUAAUGGGAUUUUGGCCAAGUGGAGGAUUCCCCCUCCAAUGGGUAUCUAUGGGCAAAAAAUGAGGGUUAUAACCUUGCUUUAUUGGGCCUAAGGCCAUGUAAUAGGGUCCAGCCAAUUUUUAGAUGUUUUCCUUGUGUUUUAGAGGAUUCCUAGGCCGUUUCGGAGUCCCUCAAGGGCCUGGCCGAAAACCACCUAGUUCCCCUCCUAUUUAUACCCCAUGAGUCACCCUAUGGAGCCUUGGAUUUUGAUUAGAUAAAGUUUAGCCUUUGCUACUUUCGUGUAAUCGCGUGUGUCGGUUAGACCACCUGUUUUACCGUCAUCAAGACUCCAACUAUAUUGAGUAUUCAGAUUCGUGAACCUUCAUAUCUCCUAUUCGCAAUUUCAGAUUGCUUUUCAUCUUGUUCUUGCUUGUUCUUCGAUUGCUUGCAGGAACAAAGACCUUCGUGGUCAGGUUGAUCGUGCCCCUGCGGGAUCAAUAACCUUCUGGAGUUGGUGUAUCGAUCGCUAAGGCGCUGCCUCCUAGGUUGUAGUCGGAUCGUCAACGUCACCUCUUACCAAAUCGAUAAUUAGGUAUCUCAUCAAAAGAUCGGGACACCCUCGAGGCUAUCAGGUCCCUCCUCAUUAUUGUUGUCAGAGUGGCAGUAGCAAGGAAAUGGCGAGGGUAAACUAGACUACUUGGGAUUUAUAGCUAGCGUAGAGGUACGAGUAAUAAUCUUAAUGCAACUACUAAAACAACUAGUGCAUAGUAAAAAUAUUUAGGAGAAUGAUCAAAGUGAACUUGCCUUGUCCAAGGUUGUCGUGGUUUUCACACUCUUCGCAACAAUAGGGAUUACACUCCACACAAUUUAAAAUAAAAUAAAGCACACACAGAAUAAACACAACAUUCGAUACAAAAACAUGCUAUGAUCCAUAUGCCAUGAUGAUGCACACUUGGUUACUUCUAAUGUAACAAGUUGUGUUUCUGUUUUGAAAAGUUUUUCAAAUGAUUUGGACAGAUUAUACAACAUCAAAGAGGUAAUUAAUAUGCAUGAAACAAGGGUAUGUUUUAAAUUAAAAGAUUCCAAUGUUUUUGCAACAUAGAGCAAGAUUUAAACUUGUAUGCAAUUAUUAUCAACAAAAUAAUUUCUCUUCUGAUCCUAAUGGACAGAGAACAUGCUCAAAUAAUUUUACAGCAAGCUAACAUGCUCAAAACCAUUUUGAAAUAAUUCAUUUGAAAAAUUUAAACCACAUUCAACCAUUCUGUAAUUUGCUUCUGGCAAAGUAUUUCCAAAUUGAAAUUUGACUGUGCCAAAAAUUUCAACAAGUUGUGACGAUUCCAGAAAGGUGCGAAUCAUAAUAUUUGGACAAGCGGUUUGAAAGUUAUGAUGCUUUGCAAAAGUGUAAUUUUUAUUUUGGCCAAAAAUUAAAAAAAAAUCUAGCUUUGCCACGUGGCAGUGCAGCAUUGGCUGGAAGCUAGGGUUUUACCCGGGCGGCGGUGCGGUCGGCCGGAGCUGAGGGAGAGGGCGGUGCGGAGCUCGGGGACGGGCGUCGGGUGGACGGCGGCGGCCGGCGACUUCGGGCGGCAGCAGAGCUUGGGAAGUGGCGGAACGGAAGUGGGGGAGGGCGGCGGUUCGGCGGGGCACAGUCGGCUCGGGCGGCUCGGCGGACGGAGGCGCAUGGCGGCGAGCAUGGGCGGCGGACGAAGGCGGAGCUGCGGCAACCAAAAACAAAGAUAAGCGCGUCAUGAGGUGCGGAAUGAAGAGAGGAGAGAGGGUAGGGGGUCGGCGAUGCGAGAAGCUCACGGGGUGGCGGCGAAUCGCGAAGAACGGGGGUGACUGUGAAGAACUCCGGCGAGAAAUUUUGGCGAGGUGCGAGCGCAAUCGGGCGAGGGAGUCUGGGGAAAAGAGAGAGGAGAUCGAGGGCUUCAAACUGACGCGAACGGCUUCGGAGAUGGGGUCGUGUGCGCGGAGAAAUCGGAGUGGAAGGCACGCGCGCGGACUCGGGGUCGUGGCCGGGUUUCUCGGCCGGCGGUUGGGGAAGAUGUAGCUGACCAGUGGGGCCCUCUUGGGCGCGCGGCUGGGCUGGUCGGUUCAGUCCGGUUCUGUGGUGACCCAGACCCGUAAGGAUCCGGACCUCUGUGUAAACUGUGCUAGUCCCUGGAUCAAAUGCUAGCACACACAGUUCCAUUGAUGAAAUACCAUACACAUGUCUAUUACAUCGGUUCGAAUAACAAAUCCAGAGUACUAAUACAAGCCAAGCGGAAGUUUAAAUAAAACACACUGAUAAAGAGGGAGUCCCAUCAACGCCACAGGCAAGUUGAGUGUAGACUUGCGACCCUGCGUCUUCUUCUUAAGCGUCACUCUCUGCAUGAUAGGUGCAGGUCAGUACAUUGAAUGUACUUGCAAGUCACACCUGUGUGGUUAGGAGGAAUGCAUGGAAAUGAUGAAGGAUUUCCUAGUUUGGCUACUAGGGUUGUUUUUGCAAAAUGCUGCUUUUGGGGUUUUGAAAUUCUCAUAGUAUUUCCCUUUGAAAAUCUUUAUCCUGGAGUUUUGAUAAAACAGGGUUUGAUCAAUACUAUGGUCAUUCUGUGGAUGUUCACUCCACGACCUAGCUAUGCACUCUGGGUCAACUGGCACUCACAUAGCAUCCCUUUUCCCUGACUCAUUCUGUGGAACCUUCCAUCGAGUCAAAACAGUUUUGGGGUUUUGAAAACAAAACUUGAAGAUCUCCACUUCUCCUGACUUAAUGACUCAAAGUCGCCCGUAACAGGGGCAUGGCUAAUCGAUUAGAUUGACACUCUCGAGAGGUUUGUACACUUUACCCACUUGACACAAUCAGUCCAAAGUGUUGCCUGACGACAAGCGUGCGCAACAGGUAAAGAUUGUGACGAAGUCUUUCACCUGAUGCCCCCUGAUACCUAAUUCUGGCACCGCCCGCCCCAUAUGAGCACAUUGGCUCCUCUCCGAAUGGCGAUACCCAGGUAAGGGUUUCCCGCUAGUUAGUCGACCAAGCCAGAGCCCAUAAUAGCAAGUGGUUGCACAAGAAACCUUUGGGUACAUGAGAAGGUUUGAACUCUUGGAUUUCUGGACAGAGGUCCCCACCUUCUCCUGAGCGUGUACCCGUUAUGGGGCUACAACACUUGCCGAUAGCCAACUGGCCUCCAUCAUACCACUCCAUCCAGAUAAAACAUUUUGGUUUUAUUUCAAAAACAUUUUUCCAAAAACAUACUUGCUCAUAAAGAGCACUUAAUACUUUUCAAUAUAGUUUGGGUCCUGUCCCGUUAUAAUAAUAUAGCAUGCUUUGGAAUAAUGUAAAUACAUAACCUAUGGUAUUUGGUGGCAUGGCAAUAAAAUCCUAUAAGCAAUCUACUAGGAAUAACUAAACAUGUUGCAAACGCAUUUAAACAUACUUCAUAUAAAAGUAACUAUCAUGCAUUCCCUAAUCAUGUAAAUCAACAUAGCUUAAGCAAAAUAAUGGGAUACUACAUGGUCAAAAGUGUAACUUGCCUGGUUCAAAAAAGUGGUUGCGGUCGUCAACUCCCUGGCACUCGUCGCAAUCGCAAUCUGAAUAAUCUAACGCGAAGAACGAAACAACAAUAAAUGCAUAGUUCCAAACAUCUCUCAAAAUCCAAAUAUAACUCCAAAUGAACUUCGGAUAAAGGAUGUAUCACAAGCAUACAAAACAGAACCUAAGUAAUACCAUAGUAUUAACAAUUCAAGUUCUAAAGCCUAAGGUUAAGGCUAGAGUGGCUAAGUCUGAAGAUUCAUAAAUCUGCUACUGUUAACAGAUAGCAACUAGGGUUGACAGGUAAUAGGUGCUAAAGUACAGAACAUGGCAUGAAACAUAUGCUACAGUAUAGUACUAAGAUUAUACCAACUAACGCAGCAGGUUUCAGGUCAAAAUGAUAAAGAGAUCAAAAGUUACUGGCUUGCAAAGGUGGCUAGUCAGAUUCUGACAGAUAAAGGUUGCUAACUUCGAGUGAAAAACUACUGGUGCUAAACUUUUCCGAUGACAGAGAACUAAACAAAGGAAUCCAAUAAUAUGAUCUACUCUUCCAAAUGGAACUGGUUUCACUAACUAUGGAGACAUGAGGCAGUAGCUAUGAACAGAUGAAUCUGGCUACUCUAAAACAGGACAGUACAGGAUAUGAACUUCUACCAUCGUGCUGCUAGUGAAGGUGAAGUUGAAAUGGCCCAACUAGGAAAUGGCUGUGAAGGGGUGUUCCUAAAGUUCAAUCUACAGAAAGAAACAACUAAAAUGAUGCUACGGACAACAAUGAGAACUACUGUGAAUAAGGCUACCUACUAAGAAGGUGCUGCAACUUUCUGCCGCGGCAGAGAUACGGCAGAGAAGCUGAUUAGAAUACCAUUUUGCGACGACGAUGCAAAGCAUGAGAUGAACCAUCUACGGCUACUGUCUACAGAGAAAUUGUAGAGGAACAUUCACUCUACACAAUGGUGAAAUCUAGAGCACAUAAUGAUCAGUGGUUUGAUAGCAAACAAUGCCUAAACAGAGCUAACCGAAGAACAAAAGCUUCAGAGAACUUGAACAAGUUCAUACCCAAAUCUUCCCGGAGAUGAACGGAAUCGAAGAAUCGAAGCGCGGGAAGGAAGAAGAAGGGUUGGAGGAGAUUCACGGUGUUGCGGGGAGUCCAACGGUGC
rnacentral:lncRNA from 1 species